rnacentral:rRNA from 1 species
GAUUGUCCUAGAGUAGGGCGGGACACGAGAAAUCCUGUCUGAACAUGGGGAGACCACUCUCCAAGCCUAAGUACUCGUGCAUGACCGAUAGCGAACAAGUACCGUGAGGGAAAGGUGAAAAGCACCCCGACAAGGGGAGUGAAAUAGAACCUGAAACCGGAUGCCUACAAACAGUCGGAGGGGGCAACCCUGACGGCGUACCUUUUGUAUAAUGGGUCAACGACUUAGUGUAACAAGCAAGCUUAAGCCGGUAGGUGUAGGCGCAGCGAAAGCGAGUCUGAAUAGGGCGAUAUAGUUUGUUGCAUUAGACCCGAAACCGAGUGAUCUAGCCAUGAGCAGGUUGAAGGUUGGGUAACACCAACUGGAGGACCGAACCCGCAUCUGUUGCAAUAGAUUGGGAUGACUUGUGGCUAGGGGUGAAAGGCCAAUCAAACUCGGAAAUAGCUGGUUCUCCGCGAAAUCUAUUUAGGUAGAGCGUCGAGCGAAUACCCCCGGGGGUAGAGCACUGGAUGGGCUAUGGGGACUCACCGUCUUACUGAUCCUAACCAAACUCCGAAUACCGGGGAGUACUACUCGGCAGACACACGGCGGGUGCUAACGUCCGUCGUGAAAAGGGCAACAACCCUAACCUCCAGCUAAGGUCCCCAAGUCAUGGCUAAGUGGGAAAGGAUGUGAGGAUCCCAAAACAACCAGGAUGUUGGCUUAGAAGCAGCCAUCAUUUAAAGAAAGCGUAACAGCUCACUGGUCUAAAUAAGGGUCUUUGCGCCGAAAAUGUAACGGGGCUGAAGCCAUGCACCGAAGCUGAGGAUUUGCAGUGAUGCAAGUGGUAGCGGAGCGUUCCGUAAGCUGAUGAAGGGAGACCCGUGAGGGCUCCUGGAGGUAUCGGAAGUGCGAAUGUUGACAUGAGUAACGAUAAAGAGGGUGAGAGACCCUCUCGCCGAAAGACCAAGGGUUCCUGCUUAAAGUUAAUCUGAGCAGGGUUAGCCGGCCCCUAAGACGAGGCGGACACGCGUAGUCGAUGGGAACCACGUUAAUAUUCGUGGGCCUGGUGGUAGUGACGGAUUGCACAAGUUGUUCUGGUUUAUUGGAUUAUCAGGGCAGCGGAGCGGUUCCAGGAAAUAGCUCCACCGUAUAGACCGUACCCGAAACCGACACAGGUGGUCAGGUAGAGUAUACCAAGGCGCUUGAGAGAACUAUGUUGAAGGAACUCGGCAAAUUGCACGCGUAACUUCGGAAGAAGCGUGACCCCAUUUUAGGCAACUAUGAUGGGGUGGCACAGACCAGGGGGUAGCGACUGUUUAUCAAAAACACAGGGCUCUGCGAAGUCGCAAGACGACGUAUAGGGUCUGACGCCUGCCCGGUGCUGGAAGGUUAAGAGGAGAGGUGCAAGCUUUGAAUCGAAGCCCCAGUAAACGGCGGCCGUAACUAUAACGGUCCUAAGGUAGCGAAAUUCCUUGUCGGGUAAGUUCCGACCUGCACGAAUGGCGUAACGACUUCCCCGCUGUCUCCAACAUAGACUCAGUGAAAUUGAAUUCCCCGUGAAGAUGCGGGGUUCCUGCGGUCAGACGGAAAGACCCCGUGCACCUUUACUAUAGCUUUACACUGGCAUUCGUGUCGGCAUGUGUAGGAUAGGUGGUAGGCUUUGAAGCGGGGACGCCAGUUUCCGUGGAGCCAUCCUUGAAAUACCACCCUUAUCGUCAUGGAUGUCUAACCGCGGCCCGUCAUCCGGGUCCGGGACAGUGUAUGGUGGGUAGUUUGACUGGGGCGGUCGCCUCCGAAAGAGUAACGGAGGCGCGCGAUGGUGGGCUCAGACCGGUCGGAAAUCGGUCGUCGAGUGCAAUGGCAUAAGCCCGCCUGACUGCGAGACUGACAAGUCGAGCAGAGACGAAAGUCGGUCAUAGUGAUCCGGUGGUCCCGCGUGGAAGGGCCAUCGCUCAACGGAUAAAAGGUACGCCGGGGAUAACAGGCUGAUGACCCCCAAGAGUCCAUAUCGACGGGGUUGUUUGGCACCUCGAUGUCGGCUCAUCGCAUCCUGGGGCUGGAGCAGGUCCCAAGGGUUUGGCUGUUCGCCAAUUAAAGCGGUACGUGAGCUGGGUUCAGAACGUCGUGAGACAGUUCGGUCCCUAUCUGCCGUGGGUGUAGGAAUAUUGACAGGAUCUGUCCCUAGUACGAGAGGACCGGGAUGGACAUAUCUCUGGUGGACCUGUUGUCCUGCCAAGGGCAUAGCAGGGUAGCUAUAUAUGGACGGGAUAACCGCUGAAGGCAUCUAAGCGGGAAACCCACCUGAAAACGAGUGUUCCCUAUCAGAGCCGUGGAAGACGACCACGUUGAUAGGCCGGGUGUGGAAGUGCGGCAACGCAUGAAGCUUACCGGUACUAAUAGCUCGAUCGGCUUGAUCGUUCUCAUU